rnacentral:rRNA from 1 species
CUCGUAGGUGGCCAACUAAGUCAGACGUGAAAUCCCUCGGCUUAACCGGGGAACUGCGUCUGAUACUGGAUGGCUUGAGUUUGGGAGAGGGAUGCGGAAUUCCAGGUGUAGCGGUGAAAUGCGUAGAUAUCUGGAGGAACACCGGUGGCGAAGGCGGCAUCCUGGACCAGUACUGACGCUGAGGAGCGAAAGCCGAGGGGAGCAAACG